rnacentral:misc_RNA from 1 species
GUGAAUCAUCGAAUCUUUGAACGCAAAUUGCACUCCCUGGUAUUCCGGGGAGUAUGCCUGUUUGAGGGUCGUUAGAACAAAAAUCGAAGCGUCGCUCUUUUUUUUAAGGGUGAUCGCGUCGGAAUUGGGCCGUCUUUCAAAUGUUAAUUCAUGUCAAAGUGGCUUGAAAUUCAUCCAUCCGGUCCGAUUAAAGCGUAUUUAAGAUCAAUUUUGAUUAAGAUCGCUCGAUGAACGUACCUUCUCAUGUAGUACGUUUGACCUGGGUCAUCAGGUUCAUUCGUAUCCGAUACCCAAACUUUUU